rnacentral:rRNA from 1 species
AAUUAGCGGAUGACCUGUGGCUGGGGGUGAAAGGCCAAUCAAACCGGGAGAUAGCUGGUUCUCCCCGAAAGCUAUUUAGGUAGCGCCUCGUGAACUCAUCUUCGGGGGUAGAGCACUGUUUCGGCUAGGGGGCCAUCCCGGCUUACCAACCCGAUGCAAACUACGAAUACCGAAGAAUGUUAUCACGGGAGACACACGGCGGGUGCUAACGUCCGUCGUGAAGAGGGAAACAACCCAGACCGCCAGCUAAGGUCCCAAAGUCAUGGUUAAGUGGGAAACGAUGUGGGAAGGCACAGACAGCCAGGAUGUUGGCUUAGAAGCAGCCAUCAUUUAAAGAAAGCGUAAUAGCUCACUGGUCGAGUCGGCCUGCGCGGAAGAUGUAACGGGGCUAAACCAUG